GCUGGGUGUGGUGGUGCACACCUGUAAUCCCAGUGACUGGGGAGGCUGCAGCAGGAGGACUGCAAGUUCAAGGCCAGCUUCAGCAAUUGAGGGAGACCCUGCCU
rnacentral:sRNA from 1 species